UCAGUUUCUGCUGCUGGAG
rnacentral:siRNA from 1 species